CAGUGAGCAGCGCAUUCUAAAGUAGGACCCUCCGCUCUGGAACUCAGCUUUAAAGCUCAACUCAAUUCUAGAGUGAUGUAGAAGAGCAUGAGACUCGAAAGCACUUCCGCUUCAAAUAGUUCUCACUUAACUCCCAGAUCUACAAGAAUUCCUGUGUUUCACACGGACAAUGGAAAAGACAAAAGAUGACACCACCGCUUGCGAUUUAUAAAGAAAAAGCACUAAUGAGAUUUAGGUGUUCUUUGAAAAAUAUAAU